rnacentral:rRNA from 1 species
UACGUAGGGUGCGAGCGUUAAUCGGAAUUACUGGGCGUAAAGCGUGCGCAGGCGGUUUAGUAAGACAGGCGUGAAAUCCCCGGGCUCAACCUGGGAACUGCGCUUGUGACUGCUAAGCUAGAGUACGGCAGAGGGGGGUGGAAUUCCACGUGUAGCAGUGAAAUGCGUAGAGAUGUGGAGGAACACCGAUGGCGAAGGCAGCCCCCUGGGCCGAUACUGACGCUCAUGCACGAAAGCGUGGGUAGCAAACAGG